rnacentral:rRNA from 1 species
AUGUCUGAUAUCUGGAGCGUUGUGCGUUGGUGGGACGACUGGCAGCUGCGCAUCCUGGUGCUGGGCAGCCUGGGCCUGCAGUGGUUCCUCCUGCUGGCCGCGCCCAUGCGCAAGUACACCAUCCCGCGCGUCAUCCGGACGUGCAUCUGGCUCGCCUACAUAUCCAGCGACGCGCUGGCCAUCUACGCGCUCGCCACCCUCUNNNNNNNNNNCAACCGCCACGCCAGGGGCAGCAACUGCGGCGGCGUCGAGCUGUCGCGCGCCCUGGAGGUCCUCUGGGCCCCUGUCCUCCUCAUCCACCUCGGCGGCCAGCAGGAGAUGACCGGCUACGAGAUCGAGGACAACGAGCUAUGGACGAGGCACACCGUGACCCUGGUAUCACAGGUCGCGGUCGCACUCUACGCCUUCUGCAAGUCGUGGCGCAGCUCCAGUGACUGGAAGCUACUGGCGGCGGCGGUCCUUCUCUUCGUCGUCGGUGUCCUCAGCUUCAGCGAGAAGCCGUUGGCCCUCAACAGGGCCAAGAUCAAGAGGCUGGCGGCUGUGUCGGCCUGGGUGCAAGGAACCAAGAAGCCUUCCAAGUGGAGGAAGCGCGUCAACCAGUUCUUCUUGUUCGAGGAGAGCAACUGCUUCACCGGGAUGCCCACACAAAGCAGUGGCGGCGGCGGGGAAGAAGGAGCCGGCGGGAAGGAGCAAAAACCACCAGUGGUGGCCCUGACGGAGGCAGACAAGGUCUUGAUGGUACUUUCGGACAUGUCACUGCUAGCUGCUGCCAAGGACCUGGUGUCACGAAACAAGGCUGGCAAGGUGGAGGAUGUUCUGCCUCCUCUACCCGUCGCCGAGAAGGCCUUGCCGCGCUGGCUGCGCAGUGCAUUCGCCUUCAUCUACACCAGAGCUACCGUAGUUGUCACUCCUCUCUACCUGCUCUACCACCUGCUGGUGGUUCCUGUCCUUCACAUGGCCGCCCUGGCACUAUUCACGGCGAGCGACAAGCACCCGUAUCGGCGCGCCGACGUGAAGAUAACCUACAUCGUCCUGUGCCUCACGGCAGCGCUGGAUGUCCUGGCGGUGUUCAUCCGGCAGCUGUUGUACCGGUUCAUGUCCAUGACAAAGGUCCCGGCCUUGUGCGAGACGGUACCUGGCUAUAACCUCGUCGACGCGGCGCUUUGGGAGGGCGACAAGAGCAUCGGAUGGAUAUACAAGUGCGCCAGGCGCAUGGGGUUCAACUGCAAUGGGGGAUGUCUUUCUUGCAGGCCUCAACUUGGUCAGUUGUACAAGAAGGUGGCACAAACCGUGAUCGCAGAUCUGGUGGAUGCACAAGACCGCGACCUUGCCAGUUACAGGAUCUUGGAUUCCAACAACUGGGCUCUCAGUGAGGAGCUGCAAGGGCACUGUGGCGAGGAGAUAAAAGAAAGCUUGCGCGUCUCGUUCGACCGGAGUGUCCUCCUAUGGCACAUGGCCUCCGACCUUUGCUUCCGCUACAUUGGUGAUGCCGCCUUGGUCGACGAUGGUGGUAGACAGGAGGGAGAAGGAGGAGGAGGUGCAGAAGAAAAAGUUCAAGGAGUAGAAGCAGCAGCAGCAGCAGAAUUAGGAGCAGAAGCAGCAGAAGGAGGAGGAGGGGGAGGAGCAGAAGAAAAAGUUGAAGGAUCAGGAGAAGAAGAAGAAGCAGAAGAGUACGAAGAAGAAGAAGAAGAACAGAAGAGGAGAGACCCGGCAUUACGGCUUCAUAUCAAGUGCACGGUGGCAAUAUCCAACUACAUGGCGCACCUGCUCAACUUCAACCCGGAGAUGCUGCUGACCGGCAGCAGGCACCAUCUCAUCUCCGAAGCCGUUGAGGAGCUCAAAUCCUCCUCUCUGUCCAAGACCAAGGACGAGUUAGGCCAAAAGGACGUCAAUGAGCUCAUUGCCGGCAUACUGGACCGAGCAGCUGCCGCCGAUGGACAUGGGCAAGGUGACACGUCCCAAGAAGUUUUCCACAUCCUGGAGGCAUGCAAGCUCGCCAAGGAGCUGCUGGAGAUACGGGACCCGACGGCGCGGUGGAUGCUCAUGUACCGGGUGUGGCUGGGCAUGCUCUGCUACUCGGCGAGCAUGUGCAGGGGUUACCUCCACGCCAAGAGCUUGGGUGAAGGUGGGGAGUUCCUCUCCUUCGUCUGGCUCGUGCUCUCGCUCAAGGGGGCCAAGAGCCUGGCCGACAAGCUGCAGAUGCCGCCGGAGGCUUCUGACACGGCCAAAUCAAACGCGCCGCCGCCGGUUACUUGA